GCGCGCCUGGCUCGGCGAGUUGGAGGCGCUGGCGGCGCGCCACCCGAACCUGGAGUUGCGCUGGAGCCUGACCCGCGGGGCGCG
rnacentral:tRNA from 2 species